rnacentral:lncRNA from 1 species
UGUAAUGAAUAUCUGUUGGUUUAGAAAAAGAAAAUGAAGAUGUGAUGUUUUUGCUCAGAAAGUGUAGGCUGUUUUUUUUUUUUUUUUAUCAUUACAGAGACCUUUGGAGCCAGGCUGUGGUAGCCAUAAGACCAAGUAACACAAGUGCUGAGUGAAAAGUGUUUUCACCCAGAUAGCCUUUCUAAGGGGAGAGGCACAGAAGAGAGAAGGACAGGAUUCCCUAUGGAGCUAAAAACGGGCUAUAGUAAAGCACCAUGCCACCUGAGACCAUCUGUGAAGUUAAGAAGGGAGGAAGGGAGUCCCAGACUGGAAGCUACUCUCAGUGAAAGGACAAGCCUGCUCCCAAAACCAGCAAAGCACGGGAAACAUAUAACAUUUCAAAUAGAAACAAAAGUCAAAGAUUUGUAUUUUUUUGGAAUGAAAUGUAUCUGAAGACCCCAAGUAACCCACCUUUGUUCUUCUAGACCAUCAGAUAGAACUCUUCUUCCUGGAAAAUUUAAAAAUUUUUAGAUGUUCUCCCCCUGGAAUGAAGCCAGUUCCAGUGAGUACAGUUCCAGUUACAAUAGCAGCUUUUAGCUCCCUGCUUUUUCUCUUGAAUGACUAUCUGGCUUUCAAACUCUUUAUUUUUGGUAAUAUAAUUUACCUUACUUCACAGAUCUUGUUUCAGUAAGCACAGUCAGAAUUUCAUCCCUUUACUCUCAGGGUUUCUGUGACUUAAAGAUCACAAUAAUACUGCAAGGCAUUUCUUGGCCCGAUCUAAUCAGUUGAAAGUACUUUGCAGAGGCAGAGCCAGUGGACUCAAUUGGCCAUGAGAUUUGACUUCUGUGGGUUAAACCUAAUGAUUUUGUCUAACUGCCUUCUGACCCCAGACAGUGUUCCACAUCGCACUGCAUCCUGCCCAUUCACAGCAAGAGGCAGUUUGAAUUUUUGUAUCUAGCUAAUAGUUUUUGUAGAGUUCAAAUCAUAUUCUGAUCUGUGUGACUAUUUAGAGAAGUUUGAAAGGAAGCAGCAUUCUAGCUUUGGGGGACAUGCUUCUUACCUCUGUGCUUUUGACUUUUCCUUUUGUUAUUUCUUAUUUUCCUGACAAUAAUACUAUCAAUAUCAAGUUAAAGGGAAUUCCCUGGCUGAAAUUGUCUUUUCACAGACUUCUUAUCUGUCUAAACAGUCAUCUGCCCAGAGCUCAGAUCCUGCCUUAAAGUUUUAUAACAGUUGUUUUUAUCAGAUACUUUAGAGAUUUUUUUUGGAACAUUCUUCCCCUUCCCCAUUAAAGAAGACUGAUUUUCAUGUAAACUCCAUAACACUGUUCAUACCCCAGAGUCCCUUUGUAGCUGUACAGUUAGCCUGGGAUCCACUGCUAAAACGAAAGGUGCUGAAGAGAAUAAAGGACUCUUCAAUACAGAGGCA